rnacentral:lncRNA from 1 species
GCGAACCGAGCGGGCGGCGGGCGCGCGCACCAUGGGGGAGAAACCCGGGACCAGAUACCCCAGAAUCUUCCAUGCUCCGUCACACUGCAGCCAGGCCCAGAGGAUACAGGAAAGGCCUGCGGCGUAGACUUUGAGAUUCGAGCCUUCUGUGCUAAAUCACUAGAAGAGAAAAGCCACAAAAGGAACUCUGUGCGGCUGGUGAUCCGAAAGGUGCAGUUCGCCCCGGAGAAACCCGGCCCCCAGCCUUCAGCCGAAACCACACGCCACUUCCUCAUGUCUGACCGGUCCCUGCACCUCGAGGCUUCCCUGGACAAGGAGGUGGGGCGUGAGAGGGUGACACGGAUGCCACGGUGCAGUUUAGACCCUGGGGGAGGGGCGAAGCCACACAUCAAGAGGACAUUUGUAAAGGAGGUUGCCUUGGCUGGGUGUGGACAGUUGCCGUGGGCUUGGGUUUGAGGGGAGGGGGCCAGAACAAUGUGUCUGUGUUUGGGGACACACUGAUGAUGGGAACAGUGAAAACCAGUUCCAAUUCACAUGACCCCCUCCCCCCAAAAGCUGUACUACCAUGGGGAGCCCCUCAAUGUAAAUGUCCACGUCACCAACAACUCCACCAAGACCGUCAAGAAGAUCAAAGUCUCUGGUAGGAGGUGGGGUUUGGAAGGGGG